GUGACCACAACAUCCAUCACAUGUCUGGCUGUGGGAAACUUAUGACAUCCUGUGUGUGUGUUUUUGCAUUUUCUGUGCCUUCUGGCCUUUGGGCUGUACCUGUGCUUCUUAAGCCAGGUGAAUGCACGUGAGUGAUGGCUUUAGCACCUUUCAUCAAACUUCCAAAAUGAUUGCAUUCUGUGAAAAGGGUGAAAAGAGAAAGUAUUUCAUAAAUUGGUCAGAACAUAAAUUGGUAACAAAUGCCUGAAUGUACUCUCAUUUAUUAUGGACCAAUCAAAUGAACUUUGAAUAAAUAAUUGUUGCAUAUAGAAUGUUGCCAGCACUAGACAUACGUAUAACAUGUGGAGAUCAGUCACAGGAAUUGAAAGAUGCUUAUUUUGUCUUCAGAAGGGCGCUUGAGCAGGAUGACGUAAAAUGAUGCUAAGGCCAGAGGAUGCGGACUAUGAGUAAUCCAGAAAAGAGAGUUUAUCACACGUAAAGAGUAAUGCUGUUGGACCUGCAGACAUCCUACAGCUGCUGAAGCAGCCUGCCCGGGACACCCGCUCAGCGGUGCGGGCUGUAGACAACAUGGAGAACACCCCUAGAAAGAUCUACCAAAAAACCACAGCAUCCAUAAGCGCUCACUCAACGCCACGGGUCUGUCCUGUUUCUCACACACCUGUUUCUCUAUCCUGUUUUUCUCACACGUCUCCUUUCUGGCAUUUCCCCGGGGUUUAGGAAAAAUACCCUGGCUGCUCCUUACACAUGUCCCCAUCAACACUCAGAUCACACAGCUCACUGGCUCUCUUGUCUGUCUUCCGCACAGACCUAAUCUCUGCUGAGGAUCUGGAGACUAUUGCUGAUCUGACUUGCUGCUCAGCCAUGGCCCGCCCCACUUCCUGCAAAACCACCCCAACCUGAAGAGGUUUCGCACAGCCACCAGUGUCUGUAACAACAGGUAAGCCAAAUAAUGGCAUCAAAGCAACAAGUCUCCUACACCAUCCUGUUGUUGCACAACACAUACUGGCCUAAAAUCACAGAAGGAAGGAAUUGACUAGUGACGCAAGCCAAAAACAUGAAUAUCACCAUGGCAUCUCCUUCACUUUUUCAAUUUGUAUUUCCC
ensembl:lncRNA